rnacentral:rRNA from 1 species
GUAGGGUGCGAGCGUUAAUCGGAAUUACUGGGCGUAAAGUGUGCGCAGGCGGCCUCGCAAGUCGAGUGUGAAAUCCCCGGGCUUAACUUGGGAAUUGCGCUCGAAACUACGGGGCUUGAGUGUGGCAGAGGGGGGUGGAAUUCCACGUGUAGCGGUGAAAUGCGUAGAGAUGUGGAGGAACACCAAUGGCGAAGGCAGCCCCCUGGGCCAACACUGACGCUCAUGCACGAAAGCGUGGGGAGCAAACAGGAUUAGAUACCCUGGUAGUCCACGCCCUAAACGAUGAUGACUAGUUGUUGGGGGAGUUAAAUCCCUUAGUAACGCAGCUAACGCGCGAAGUCAUCCGCCUGGGGAGUACGGUCGCAAGAUUA